GGCCUAAUGGUCUAGUAGCAUGAUACCUCCUUCGGGAUUUACUCCCUAGUAGAUUCUACUACCAUUGGAGGUGGUCCUGGGUUCAAUUCCCAGUUAGGCCC